UAAUACAGAGGUCUCAACCGUUGUUCGGAUUCAUUGGGCGUAAAGGGUGCGUAGGCGGUCGCGUAAGUCAGGUGUGAAAUCCCGGGGCUCAACCCUGGAACUGCACUUGAUACUGCGUGGCUAGGAUACUGGAGAGGAGACUGGAAUUUACGGUGUAGCAGUGAAAUGCGUAGAUAUCGUAAGGAAGACCAGUGGCGAAGGCGAGUCUCUGGACAGUUAUCGACGCUGAGGCACGAAGGCUAGGGGAGCAAACGGGAUUAGAUACCCCGGUAGUCCUAGCAGUAAACGGUGCACGUUUGGUGUAGGCGGAUUCGACCCCGCCUGUGCCGGAGCUAACGCGUUAAACGUGCCGCCUGGGAAGUACGGUCGCAAGAUUAAAACUCAAAGAAAUUGACGGGGGCCCGCACAAGCGGUGGAGUAUGUGGCUUAAUUCGAUGCAACGCGAAGAACCUUACCAGGGUUUGACAUGUAUUGUGUCGGCGAUGAAAGUCGCCUAGCUAUAGCAAUAUAGCGC
rnacentral:rRNA from 1 species